rnacentral:rRNA from 1 species
AAAGUCUUCCGUAGGGGUAACCUGCGGAGGGAUCAUUACACAAAUAUGAAGGCGGGCUGGAACCUCUCGGGGUUACAGCCUUGCUGAAUUAUUCACCCUUGUCUUUUGCGUACUUCUUGUUUCCUUGGUGGGUUCGCCCACCACUAGGACAAACAUAAACCUUUUGUAAUUGCAAUCAGCGUCAGUAACAAAUUAAUAAUUACAACUUUCAACAACGGAUCUCUUGGUUCUGGCAUCGAUGAAGAACGCAGCGAAAUGCGAUAAGUAGUGUGAAUUGCAGAAUUCAGUGAAUCAUCGAAUCUUUGAACGCACAUUGCGCCCUUUGGUAUUCCAAAGGGCAUGCCUGUUCGAGCGUCAUUUGUACCCUCAAGCUUUGCUUGGUGUUGGGCGUCUUGUCUCUAGCUUUGCUGGAGACUCGCCUUAAAGUAAUUGGCAGCCGGCCUACUGGUUUCGGAGCGCAGCACAAGUCGCACUCUCUAUCAGCAAAGGUCUAGCAUCCAUUAAGCCUUUUUUUCAACUUUUGACCUCGGAUCAGGUAGGGAUACCCGCUGAACUUAAGCAUAUCAAAAACGGGAAGGAAAAGUCU